rnacentral:rRNA from 1 species
GCGCACCAGGCGCGAAACCUUCGCAAUGCAGGAAACUGCGACGAGGGAACUCCAAGUGCCUACGCUCAGCGUAGGCUGUUCUCAAGCCUAGAAAGCUUGAGGAGUAAGGGCUGGGUAAGACGGGUGCCAUCUGUGGUAGCAAUCAAUAGAUUCGAUUUGUUACUGCAAGGCAUAAGCCGCCGCGGUAAUACCCGCAGCCCAAGUGGUGGCCGCUUUUAUUGGGCCUAAAGCGUCCGUAGCCGGCCCGGUAAAUGCCUGGGUAAAUCGUGGAGCCCAACUUCACGAAUUCCGGGUAGACUGCCGAGCUCGGGACCGGAAGAGGGAGAGGGUACUUCAGGGGUAGGGGUGAAAAUUUCCUUUCCAUUAACGCUUUGCGCGAAGCGGAAAGGGUUAUCACAAU